UACGUAGGUGGCAAGCGUUGUCCGGAUUUAUUGGGCGUAAAGCGCGCGCAGGUGGUUCCUUAAGUCUGAUGUGAAAGCCCACGGCUCAACCGUGGAAGGUCAUUGGAAACUGGGGAACUUGAGUGCAGAAGAGGAAAGUGGAAUUCCAAGUGUAGCGGUGAAAUGCGUAGAUAUUUGGAGGAACACCAGUGGCGAAGGCGACUUUCUGGUCUGUAACUGACACUGAGGCGCGAAAGCGUGGGGAGCAAACAGG
rnacentral:rRNA from 1 species